UCCCGGGCUGUGCCGGGUGCUCCGGGGCGGCUGCGGGAUGAGGUGGCUGCGCGUGAGGGUUUCUGGAGUGCGGGGAUGGAGUUUUUGGGCAAAAAAGGGUCGCUUAGCACGAUAUUUACUAUGAAAAGUCAUAAAGAAUAGACUGGAAGAUAUUUCAGAGAUAACUGGUUUCCCAUCCCCCAGAGUAGUCCUGAUUGUCUUGGAGACGCAGCUUCCUUCAGGAUCUGCUGUGCGGAGUAAGGACCGGAGUGGAUCGGAUUCACCCCAGGAGAGGGCAGCAGUGUGCUUGCACAAAAUCGCCCUGUCUUGGCUCUGUAGGGUCUUUCUUUUGUACCAAGUAUCGAAUUCCUAUUAAAUCAAUUUUAAAAGCAGUACACCAAUGAAUCCCUUUGCAACAUUACUUAAAAAUGUAUUUAUUUGUAUUUAAAGCGCUAGGGUCCGGGGACACUGAUGUUGUGUAUUUUAGCCAGGCUUCCCUCCAAGGAAGAAGGUGAAGCUGCUUUCUACUGGUAUCAGUUUUCCUACCCUGCAGAUCAGAGCUCAUAAAAAAAACCUCAUGAAAACUUGGCAAAUUAAACCGAACUUUCACAGUUUAUAUAAUUGCAUUAGCUAAGAGUUUGUUUUGUUGUGGUGAUUGAUUGUAGGAGGGGUUUUUUUGUGUUUUGUUGACUUUUUUUAUGUUUGGGUUUUUUUUAAUCCAGUACUUUUGACUGUUAAUAUGUCAAGGAGUACUUGUAUGCUAAUUAGUGACUCCUAGAAAUUUUGUGGUAGGUUCUGUAUAUAUCAGCUCUUAGUAUUUUACGUAUGUGUGCUCUGACACUACAUCUGCAGUCUUUUCCAAUCAGGCAUCCUUAGGAGUGAGACAUACGUUGGUCAAACCUUGCUUUCUUCUCAGUGUUUUUUUAGGAGAAGAGCUCAGAUGUAAUUUACUGAAUAUUCUGAUGAGUAAUGAAUUAAUUUUUUUUCUGUGGAUCAGGAACUGCUGCCACUGGUGGAGGGACUUUCUGGCUUUUGAUUAUAAUCAGAAUAUUGACUGGAGAAUAUGCAGGCCUAAAUGGGUUACAACAAUUUACAUAUUUUUGUAUAUUGUUAGAAAUGGGGCUGUGGUUCUGUGGGUCUCCUUAGAUAGGCUGGUACAUUUCAGGAGAUAGUCUCUGGUAAAAGUCCAUCUCUGAGACCUUCAUCCUUGUCAUGGUUUGCCCUCUUCCUUGGGAGGCACAGAUGACUGGGCUGUGUUUGCCACCCCAGUGAUUGCAUGUUGCUUCAUGUGUCUGCAGUAGCCCAGUGCAGAGCAGUGUCGCUGCUGCUGCUAUGAAACAAAACAACUAGAAUCUCUAAAACACAACAACCACAAAACAGAAAACCCAAAUCUGAGUCCUAUUAGGCAUUAAGGGAACAGUUGAAGGGAGACUCCUGAUCAAUGUAGCAGCAACCUAGUGAAUGCAGAAUGGCAGAUCUGGUGGCUGCUCUUGCCAAUUUGUAAGAGAAAUGCAAGUGUUUAUCACAUGUGAGUGUUGUAGCUUGCCUGGGUAUUAGAACCCAAGAAUCCAGGCUAGAUCAUUACUAGGCUGCUAUACUUGUGUAUAAAAAUUGUUAUUGCAGGACAGGUGUGAUCUUAGAUAUACAGAAAAGAUGUACCCAUGCUUGCUAAUUACUCUGUUCUGUAUAGUCAAAGUCAAAUGACUGAAGUGAUAGGUUUACUGAGUUACUUUCUAGCAUGAGAAAACAGCACAAGAUUGGGAAUUCAGAAGAUAAAUCUUCUACCGUGACAGUAACUCACUUCCAUUUUGCAUAUGUGGAUUUAAUUUGAAAUCCACAUUUCAAAUCAGGGCAUCCCAGUGCCCUGAGCUGGAGGACCAUGACUGUGAGAAUAAACUCCCAGUCGACCUUGAA